AGCAUGAUUAUCGGGGUGUCUUAACCCAUCUCUUAGUAUAUUUGGAUUAAAAAGAAAAAAGAAAAAAUAGCAAUUACCUAAGGACGUCUAAGGACGUCUGUUAAUUAAGAGACAAAGGAGAAGGGUUCUUCUGGACACACGUCGUUCUCUCCUUCCUGUCUAAUAUUCUUCUCCACAUCUCUUUUUAUCUCUAUGGAUUCUCCCACGGCAAUCACUCCGGCCACCACCGCUUCCCUCUCUUUUCCAGUUCCCACUCUUUCAUCUUCUCUACCACAGAUUCUAAAAUCCGAGUUUCUCUACAGUGAGCGCGGCGGCCAAUCUGACGGCGGGAGCGAUCGCGAAGAUGCUGAGCGGAGAAGUGAAGGGGGAGAAGGAGAUGACGCCGAUCCUGCAAGUCAUAGAGAUUAAGAUGAUUCAGCAAGCGCGGAGGAACCAGGAGCAGAGCGUUGAGAGGUACAAGGUCGCCGUAUCAGACGGGAUCCAGUCUCAAGAAGAUAUGCUGAGCGCCGCUUCCAACGUCCUCUUCAAACAAGGGAGUAUUAAAAAUCGGAUCGAUCCUUAGACUCACUCGAUUCAACUGCAGCCCGUUAGGAAUCGAAGCUUAAUACAGCUUUGGAAUAUUGAUGACUGCUACAUUGCAGUGGGAAGGGAUACCUACAUAUAUCAUUGGUAUAGGCAGAGGAAUAAGUGCCACUAUUGAUUCAGUUCAAUGGUUUUCAUGUUCUUGUCUUAAUAUAUCAUUAAUCUACAUGUGCUUGUUUCAAGUUCCAUCUCAAACUCUUUCUUCCAUCUCAAGUUUUAUUAUCUAAGAGACACCAAAAGUUUUUAGCAAUAAUCUACACAUUUAGUAAUGUAUCUUAA